rnacentral:lncRNA from 1 species
AGCGGCAGUACUUGCUGGGCACCAGGCAGUCGAGGAUGCUACAAUCAAACCAAAACCAUGCUAAAACACACAACACAUCAAUUCUAACAAAUUGAACAAACAAAUACAUGAAGAUAAGCAAGCAAGCAUACAUAAUUUCCACAGUAGUAAUCGAUGAUCUAAGCUACCAUUAAACUUAAAUAUCUAACAUUUAGCAACCAUAGUGAUAAGAUAGGAUAGGAAUGAUAGUGUUGAUAGAGUGAUACUUGUAAUGCACUGGCGAAGCAGGGCAUGCCAAAUGGUAGAUCUGAUCCACCUCCAAUAAAAUGGGCUCGACAACAUCAUGCCUAAUGAGCUCAAACUUAUGAAUUCCAAAUAAAUUCACCACAUUCUCCUUCCUUGGGUGAAUAAAUUCGCCUCUAUCCACCAAACGAAAUAGCCGCCUCCGAUGAUAAUUCUAUGCCUAUGCCUCUGGCGGAAGUGCACACACCUAACAAAUUUCAGUUAAUACGUCAAUAAUAAGAUUCAUAAACAAAGUUAAAGAAUUUAAGGAAUCAAACCUCAUCCCUAUGGCAUUCAAUGAUGAAAAGAGUGAAGUAGGCAUAUUGAGAGAAGUGAAUAUCUUUGAAAAAUAAAGUUGAAUUUGUGUGCUUUCAAUUUCCAUCCUUCUCUAGCUCCUCCAAUCCCAAUAUCCGAUGACCGGAAGAUAAUUCCAAGAACCUAAUCUUCUUACCAAAUCUUUGAGAGCAUGAGACAUUUGAGAUCUAAUACAAAAAAGAUACAUAGAAAUUAUUUCACCGGCCUUCCAGUGCUUCAUUUUGGGAAAUCUGAUGUCGAUGAUGCAAGAGCAUCAGCGGUGGAGCACAACACGUGAAUCCGUGGAGAGAUGGAUGCGGUGAUUUUAGCGGGGGUCGAAAGAGGGGACGGGAGGAGAAGGAAGGAGGGCUGAAAAGAAUAGCCAUUAUUAUAUUACUUGCAAUGAAAUUAGAUGGAAAAGCGGCUCAGCGGCGAACCUUCUGUGGAUGACAGACAACGGGUGAGGAAGAUGGCAGUGAUUAUUGCUUGAUGAGUGAGAAAGAACUACAUUUGUGAGAGAGAUAAUGGGUAAAGCGGUUGCGUUAUCUAAAAAUUGUGGAAU